rnacentral:rRNA from 1 species
UGAGGAAUAUUGGUCAAUGGACGAGAGUCUGAACCAGCCAAGUCGCGUGAAGGAUGACUGCCUUAUGGGUUGUAAACUUCUUUUGUAAGAGAGUAAAAACUGGGACGAGUCCCAUAUUGCAAGUAUCUUACGAAUAAGCAUCGGCUAACUCCGUGCCAGCAGCCGCGGUAAUACGGAGGAUGCGAGCGUUAUCCGGAUUUAUUGGGUUUAAAGGGUGCGCAGGCGGGCUUUUAAGUCAGCGGUGAAAUCCCCAAGCUUAACUUGGGCACUGCCGUUGAAACUGGGAGUCUUGAGUAUAGAUGAAGUAGGCGGAAUUCGUUGUGUAGCGGUGAAAUGCAUAGAUAUAACGAGGAACCCCGAUUGCGUAGGCAGCUUACUAAACUAUAACUGACGCUCAUGCACGAAAGCGUGGGUAUCCAACA